AGACAUGCAAGUCGAGCGGGAUUUUUUCCUGUAGCAAUACAGGGAAAAAUUCAGCGGCGAACGGGUGCGUAACACGUGGGCAAUCUGUCUUAAAGUGGGGGAUAGCUCGGCGAAAGCCGAAUUAAUACCGCAUGUGAUCAGAGGCGACAUCGCUUCGAAAUCAAAGGUGGCGCAAGCUACCGCUUUUUGAGGGGCCCGCGGCCUAUCAGCUUGUUGGUGAGGUAACGGCUCACCAAGGCGUUGACGGGUAGCUGGUCUGAGAGGACGACCAGUCACACUGGGACUGAGACACGGCCCAGACACCUACGGGUGGCAGCAGUCGAGAAUUUUUGACAAUGGGGGAAACCCUGAUCGAGCGACGCCGCGUGGAGGAUGAAGGUCUUCGGGUUGUAAACUCCUGUCAUUUGAGAACAAGGUGCACAUGUUAACUGCAUGUGCAUUGAUAGUAUCAGAAGAGGAAGGGACGGCUAACUCUGUGCCAGCAGCCGCGGUAAUA
rnacentral:rRNA from 1 species